GAUCUGGCUCAGGAUGAACGCUAGCUACAGGCUUAACACAUGCAAGUCGAGGGGCAGCAUGGUCUUAGCUUGCUAAGGCCGAUGGCGACCGGCGCACGGGUGAGUAACACGUAUCCAACCUGCCGUCUACGUCUUGGACAGCCUUCUGAAGGGAAGAUUAAUACAAGAUGGCAUCAUGAGUCCGCAUGUUCACAUGAUUAAAGGUAUUCCGGGUAGACGAUGGGGA
rnacentral:rRNA from 1 species